GAACUGAAUUUCUUAGUUCUAAAUCAGUCAUGGUACUCAUACAAUGAGAAAUGCAUGCAAAAGGAUCCAGAAGGAAUAACAAAGGAGUUAUUCACAGCAUCAUCGUACCUAAGAAACAUCUUGACCACUUCAGAAUUUGUCUACGCUCACUCCAUCUCUAAGGACCUCGUAUGCCUCUCUACUCCUGGUUUUCUUCAUCCCAGCUGUGAAA
rnacentral:misc_RNA from 1 species